rfam:Oryza brachyantha chromosome 11, whole genome shotgun sequence.
AAAUGCCAUUUGGUAUCUGACACUUAGUCUUCUCUUGUGACUAUUUGUCUCGAAACGUGGCAUAUAAGAAAGGGGAACGAACCUUGCGACAUUGGUGGCUCCUCUAUGAUCCUCCAAUUACUAUAUAGCCGUUUACAUUU